AUUGAACGUUGGCGGGAGGCCUAACACAUGCAAGUCGAACGAGCGGCGGACGGGCAUGUAAUGACUGGGCAUCUGCCUGAUGGAAGGGGGCAACUACUUGAAACGGUACCUACUACUGCAUACCAUCGGCUGCGCCCAGAUCGGAUUAGCGAGUAGGUGGGGUAAAGGCUCACCUAGGCGACGAUCCAUAGCUGGUCUGAGAGGAGGACCAGCCAGACUGGAACUGAGACACGGUCCAGACUCCUACGGGAGGCAGCAGUGGGGAAUAUUGCACAAGGGGCGCAAGCCGGAUGCAGUCAUGCCGCGUGUAUGAGGAAGGCCUUCGGGUUGUAAAGUACUUUCAGCGGGGAGGCGUUACCCGCAGAAGAAGCACCGGCUAACUCCGUGCCAGCAGCCGCGGUAAUAC
rnacentral:rRNA from 1 species